UUUUUUAUCAGUUAGUUGCCCCGCCUCUGUAGUUUUACCAGGAAUGGGGGGUAAAACUGGAAUUCCUGGAAUUCCUGGAAGGGGAGGGAGAGGAGGAAGUUGUGGCAAUGGUGGAAGAAAAGGGACUGUAGGAAGAGGAGAAAGAUCAGGUAUUGUGGAGUUUUGAGUUAGUUGCCCUGCCUCUGUAGUUUUACCAGGAAUGGGGGGUAAAACUGGAAUUCCUGGAAUUCCUGGAAGUCCUGGAAGGGGAGGGAGAGGAGGAAGUUGUGGCAAUGGUGGAAGAAAAGGGACUGUAGGAAGAGGAGAAAGAUCAGGUAUUGUGGAGGUUUGAGUUAGUUGCCCUGCCUCUGUAGUUUUACCAGGAAUGGGGGGUAAAACUGGAAUUCCUGGAAUUCCUGGAAGUCCUGGAAGGGGAGGGAGAGGAGGAAGUAGUGGCAAUGGUGGAAGAUAAGGGAGUGUAGGAAGAGAUGGAAGAUCAGGUAUUGUGGGGUUUUGAGUUGGUGGUGGAAAUGUGAGCUCAUCAGUUGGAGGAAAUGAGAAUUUCCGAGAACUGAAUUCCUUGGAGUUUUGAAUGCUUGGUUUUUGGUUACAUAGGCUUGGCUGCUUUAGAGGCUUAAAGGUGAAGAACCCAGCUGAGAAAAUGUGUGUUCCUUGCUUUCUUGACUUGAGAUGCAGUGAAGAUGAAGUGGCUAUUGAGGCCACAGCACAAUAUGGUUCACUGCUGCUGAUUAAUUUCACAGAACACCCUUCAAUUUUCUUGACAUGCUUGCUCACAGAGAAAGGCAGAUGAACUCUGAACACUCCAUGGCUAUCUGUUUUCACUUCUGUCUGGAAACUUGGUUUUGAACUCCCAUCUUUGCAUUCAACACCAACAGAAGCCCCUGCAGAAAAAAUAAGUUGAAAAAUAAGUCAACUGAACGCAAAAUUCACAGUAUAAAAAGCACUUUUUAAUUGAGUUGUUGUUGGAAAAUUUGAAAUGAACCUGAAAUGAAGUGGCUGGCAUGUGAGAAUUCUGCUUGGAAACAUGUGUCACAGUAGACAGUGCCUACAACAACUGCAGAUGGGGUCUUCUUCUCAUGGCUAGCUUCUGAGGGAGUACUUAGUGAGAGAGUACUGAUCAAAAAGAGUACUGUAAAAAACCAAGACAUUUUAGAGCAUCUAUUGCCUCUGAGCAACUCUAACUCUAAGAAUGAGUAGAUGUAGGUUGCCUUUUUAUAUAAAUUCCUGAGGCUUAUAGCUGAUAUAAAUAUUCUCUACAGCAUUCAUUAUACACUUUUUUUGUUUCUUUCUGGUUGUUUCGAGGCAUAAAAAAUGAACUUUUUUCUUCAAAUUUUAUAGCCUGCUGGGCCAUCAAGGUAAUUUAUUUCACUCAUGCAAAAACCAGUCAACUGCAAACUAGAAGAAGUGAAUGUAGGUUCAUUUCCUACCACCAAACAACCCAAAAAAGAAGGUUAAUACUGUGAUUGUGAGGUAGAUAUAAAGAGGCCCCUAACUUUUGCUUUGUUUGCUUACAUUUAUUGAGUUUGUUUCUUUGUUUGGUGUAAGAAUUCUAAAGAGAAUAGUUGGGUCCCCGUUGGUUCACGAGACAAGUGGAGUAACCACAAAUUUCAUGAGUCCGAAGCUGUACACUAUCAACAACACAGGUUGAAGAUGUUGUUGGGUUUAUUUAUGUAUGUUCUUCACACAGAAACAAAAUGAUGGGCGCCUACUAUGAGCUGCUCUCAGUAAUAUAUAUCUGUGCAAAUUGAAAAACUCCCCAAGUACCAAACAAAGUUUACAACUCAAUGUAUGGAUCAGAAUCUUAUUAAUAAGGCUUUUUGGUUCAGAAUGUUAUGAUAAUCAUUAGAUUCAUUUAUUACAAUUUGCUUUAAAUUUUCUAAUUGUUUUUAACAAGUCUUUUCAGUGCAGGUGAUCCAUAAAUAGGUAAAGUAAACAGUCAAGUGAUUGCAACCGAAGAGUCUUUUCCUCAGUCUUUUGACACAAAGUUUUCUGACAAAAAAUAAAUAAAUAAAAUUUAGAUUUUAGCAACAAAAAAAUUUUCACUUUUGAAAAAAUCUAAAAAAAUUUCGAAAAAGACAUAAAAACUCCUUAACUUUCAAACCAAAAGACAUGCAAAUAUAAAUGAUUCCUUUGGAAAUCCAAAAAUAAUAAGGGCAUUUUUGUCUAUUUUUGCUUAUUUUCAAAAUAUUUCUCUCUAUUUUGGCAUUUUCCAAAAUAUCCCCAAAAAAAAACGACAAAGUUUAGACAUCAUCAGCAAUUAUAAGUCACUUGAGCACAGAUGUAUAUUCAAUAAUUGGUUUGGUUCAAAAACUACCAAUCUACAUAGUACAAUGAUUGUGGGACUGAUUAUUGGGAAUUUGUGAGACUUAUUUUAGCAGAAAAUGGACAAUGCAUAUGGCAUGCAAUGAUCCAAACUCAAAACAAAGAAGCUACGACUUCCAAGUAUUUGAGCAAUUUCAAGCCAACUCAGAAAUCUCUGUACUCUGUAGGCUUAUAAGACACUCUCCCAUGUGUUGAUGUUGCAUACAGAUUCCCUUUGCAUCAAUAUCCUUCCAUUCCAACAGUCUGUUUUUUUUUUUUUCUUUUUUAAAUUCAAUUUUCCACAUUUUUUACUGUCCGUCAAAUGCAUAGCAUUUUGGGUGAAAAAGAAAAACAAGAACUUCUACUACUGACAAAAGAGACACCAGUCACACCACAGAGGCACAAACUCCAGAAUUAUGAUAAUUACAUCCUGCAUUGGAAAUUGACAGAUUGUCUUCACGUUCCCCACAGUUUUGCAUUGAGCUGCUAACAAUCCCACAAACUUGCACCGUUUCAUUCUUUGUCCGUGGGCCACAAUUUUUGACAAAUUUGACAAUCUAAUAAGGCGGUUCCUGACAAUCCAAGGUUAUCUCCAUGACAACCACAAGCCACUGUUUCACUGUUAUCUUGUGAGGAAAUUGAAAUGUAACACCAAAUUUUCUUUUACACAGUGCAAGAGAUAAUGCAUGUUAAAAGUUAAAAAAACAAAAGGGGGAUGUUUUUGUCUAAUUCUAUGAUGUACAAAACAUCUCUUUGUCCUUCACGGGUUCCAAAACACAAUGUCACCUCUUCACUUCACGGGCGACCUUAAGCCUGUGGGCUGAGGGCCUUCGUGUCUGCUUGUUGAAUGUGGAGUUUUUCAGCCGAUGGAUACCAUUCCCAAAUGGAUACGUCAAGCUUGAAACAUACGAUGAGAUUCUUGAUUAGAUCCUUGAUGGCUUGUCCAUUAUUAUUGAAUUGAAACAACAAAGUUUGAUUGGUAACAAGGUUUGCCAACUCGAAGGGUAAGAUUGUAGCCAAUCAACUAAACUUUUUAGUGUCAGGUGCAUCCACUGAAUGUAAGGUCUCAUAUUUGAUUUACAUAAAUACAAAGAUGAUAUUUAUUUGUGACGGGUGUAUAGCUUUGUUGUGGGUACGCUUCUCAUUGUAAAAGUAUAUUUGUAAUAACAUCAGUAAUUUUUUCUUUUGUAUUAAAUAACAUUAGACACCUCAUUCAUGCAGGGAAGUUCUUUUAUCACAUUGAAUGUAUAAUGUAUAGCAGCAAUUUUCAUCCGUACAAUAAUGUAAUCAUCAGCAUGUGAUAUUUCUGUUUGUUCUUCUAUCUGAGUUUGUAUUUAUUCCAGUCUGAAUGCUUGAUAUGGAGAAAGAAAGUACUUGAUGAGCCAUCUGUCCAUGAAAUCAUUGGUUUCUAAAACAGCAUAAUAUUUGUAGAACAAAACCAUAGAUUAAAUUGUUAGAUUUCUUUAUGCACAAACAAGAUCUUUCACACAAAACUGUAAUACGUAUAAAGACAUGAAGACAUAUCUGGAGCCAUUUUCCUUGAGUACACAGCUUCUAAACUCAUCCAAUCCGUAGCAGCAGCAAUCCUAGCAAGAAUAGGAAUGGCUCAAGACUUCUGCUCUCUCUCAGAAUCUGUUUCAGCUCUCUCUUUAUAAUGAGAAUAGGUUUAAAGAACGUGUCUGAUGAGAGCAGGGCCUUAAGCUUAUAUAGGGCUAGGUCAAGUCGUCUCUAUUCAUCACCUAGGGCUGACUUGACUAAUCUUCCAAGUCCACCAGAUUGGUUCACGCAUAAAUGGAAAUAAAUAGGACCCCUUAAUAGGCCUCAAAACCCUUCCUUAUUUCACUAAGUUUUGGGCCUCAAUGUACAACUUAAUUUAAACUUUUAUUAAAAUAUAAUAUAACUUAGUAUCUAGUACACCGAUCUAAAUAGGAAAACAUAACAUAAAUAAACCCAGCUGCAAGUUUGUAUAUUGGACUGGAGUGGUACCAUUUGCAGAACAAAACAAUGUGAUACAGCGCAAACUAUAUUGGCCAGUUUGCAGAUUCGAAGAAAUAAUGCAAAAUAAUCACAACCAUCAUCUGUAUGCAAAAACAAAAAAACAAAAACAAAAAAAAAACAAAAACAAAAAAAACAAAAAAAAAAAAAAAAAAGAAGAAGAAAGAAAGAACAAUCAACGAUGCUUGUCAUAAAAAACAACUGCAGAUGGGUGCUUCUUCUCAUGGCUAGCUUCAUGAGGGAGUACUUAGUGAGAGAGUACUGAUAAAAAAGAGAACUGUAAAAAACCAAGACAUUUUAAAGCUUCUAUUGCCUCUGAGCAACUCUAACUCUAAGAAUGGGUUGAUGUAGGUUGCCUUUUAUAUCAAUUGCUGAGGCUUAUAACUAAAAACUAAUAUAAAUAUUCUCCACAGCAAUCAUUAUAAUUUUGUUUCUUUCUGGUUGUUUUGAGGAAUGAAAAAUGAACUUUUAGUUUUUUUUUUUCUUUCAAAUUUUAUAGCCUUGCCCAUCAAUAGUUUCUUUAUUUCACUCAUGCAAAAACCAGUCAACUGCAAACUAGAAGAAGUGAAUGUAGGUUCAUUUCCUACCACCAAACAAUCCAAAAAUAAGGUAAAUAUUGUGAUUGUGACUGUGAGGUAGAUAAAAAGAGGCCCCUUAAUUUUUGCUUUGCUGGUUAUUUGUCUACUUAAAUUUAUUGAGUUUGUUUCUUUGUUGGCGUAAAUACUAAAGAGAAUAGUUGGUUCACAAGACAAGUGGGGUAACCACAAAAUUUCAUGAGUCUGAAGCGUUACACUAUCAACAACGUUGAAGAUGUUGUGUUUAUUUAUGUAUGUGCUUCACACAGAACCAAAAUGAUGGGGGCCUAUUAUAUUGGUUAGAAGUACAAAUAUAUAUCAUCUCUAUAAAAAAAUCACUUGAAUCCGAUAUCAUUUGACCACUCAAUUAAAUUAUUGAAAUUUAAGUACUUUCUUGAAGCACCAUGUUCAUUGAUUUUCUUGGUCUCAAUUAGAUGUCUUAAUGAUUUUCAAUUUGCGUGAUUUUUUGCAAGGAUGAUCUCUGAAUGAAGAUGUGAAAAAUAGAUCGUUUGGAUCGUUGAAAAAAAUUUCGCAGAGAAUCCUACACCCUCAAAAUAAAAUUAUUUGAGAAAUCCCUCAAUAGAAGGGGACUAUAUAAUCUGUGAAAAUUGAAAAACUCCCAAGUCCGAAACAAAGUUUACAACUUUCCAUGGUGUCAGAAUAUGUGGUUUGAGCAGAGCACGGGAUCUUCUCGUGACCUAAUGUGGCAUAUUAAUAGGGUUUUUGCUUGGAUUAAAAUAAUAGCAAUGUGAGACCUCCAAAUCUCAUGGAGGUUUUCUACUUCUAUGAGCAUAGAACAACCCCUGAAUCAUUAGAUUCAUCUAUUGCAAUUUGCUCUAAAAUUUCUAACUGUUUUUAACUGCAUAAAAAACAAGACUUUUUGUGCAGGUAGUCCAUAAAUAGGUAAAGUAAUUCCGGCCAAAUUAAAAGUGUCAUGUGAUUACAACCAAAGAGCCUUUUCGUCAGUUAUUUGGCACAAAGUUUAGAACCUUGUAUCACCACUAUCAGUAAUUAUGAGUAAUUUGAGCACAGCUGGGACAACAAUAAAACAAUGUAUAUUCAAUAAUGCAUCAGUGACAAUUGACUGCUAUGGAUAAUGGGUUUGGUGAAAUAAAAAACUACCAAUAUACUACAUACAACAAUGAUUUUGGGAUUUGAUUAUUUGGAAUUUGAGAGACUUACAUUUAGCAGAAAAUGCACAAGCAUAUGUGCGUUUACCCUAAACAUGUUCAAACCUCAGAGAUAGGCUUUAGAUUGUGUGAAUUGUGAACGUGCCACUAUUAGUGGUGUAAAACCCUAAUAGACUUGAAAGAGAAUUAAGUAACUUGCGCACCAAGAAAACUCACUGAAAUCAAAUAAUUGUGAAUUGAAAUGGUAAACUAAAUCAAAGUUUCUUUUCCAUGCCUCAAGACAAAUGACAACUUUAUAAUUUCUCUAAAACAAUAAGGGUAAUAAACAACAAAUAAACAAGUAAACAAAAGGGAUCCAGAUCAAGGGAUCUUAUUAGAUAAUAAAUUGCCACCACCUUGGAUCACUUCUGAUUGAAUUCAGAGGUUAAGGGUCUAGUGGCAAUAGCAGUAGUAUAUCACAUCACCUUCAAUUGAUGAAGAUCAAUUGGAAAUCGAUACCAGAGACAGAUCUGGCAGAGCAAUUAUCAAGAAAGAUAUAGCAUUUGAGAAGGAAUUAGGGUUUGUACUGAAUUUAUUGUUGAAAAGUUGUGUUUGUUAUCGUGAGCUAUCUAUUCCCUUUUAUAUGAAUUUUGACUUGGUGGAGAGAGAUUACAACCUAUGUCAUGCCAUCAUGAGGAUCAAAUCAUAAUCCAUUGGAAUUAAUUAUUUAGUUGAUUGCCUUAAUCGUCAAGUAAUAUCAUGAUUUCUCCUUGAUUUUCUAGGUAAUUAUCAAUUAAUAGAUAAUUCCCUUUCCCAGCCACUUAAACUGGCCCAAGGAAUCUUAACCGGAUUGCAAUACUAAAAUCCCCCCCAAAUUGGCUUAAAUCUCAUCUGUAUAAAAACUAGGCCUAAACAUUACCCCAUAAGCCCAAUAGACUUGAUUAGAGGGAUUUGGGGUUACAUGCAUGAGCGUGACACCAUGCGUCGUUUUCAUUUCAAUCACUUCAAUCGCGCCAUUUUGACUUCUACUUUAGUCUUUCGAACCUUUCUAUCUUCUUCUCACUACGAAGCCUAGAGAUUCUUAGCGAUUAUCGAUACCUUCAACUUUUCCAAACUUUUGUUACCGAAAGUCUCAAGUUUCACCACCCCCUAACCAAUUCUCGUUUCAGAAACCAUUUCUUUGUCUCAAUGGCCACCUCUGACUCCAACGUCCCAAAGCCUAUCUCUGAAAAAUAUGCUAUUAUAUAUGCAUGCCCAAGACAUUUGUGCAUAAUUGGGUAAAGUUGCUGAUGAUGGUCCAACGCUCGUACAAUUUAACUGAGCGUCCAGACUUCAACACUGGGUCCAUAAAGAACAGUCUACUGCAAAGGUUUGAGUGGAUUGGCGAUCUUCAUGACCAGUAUCCGGAGCUUUGGGAAAAGCAUCGCAUUUACGAUGCCAUUAUGCUUUUUCGUUUUGACACUUCGAGGGGUAUUUGUUCUCAACAUAUGCAGGGGAUCUUUCUCAAGCACAUGAGAAAGUCUACUCAUUAGAUCAUUUUAGUAGCAAUAAUAUUGUAGGGCUUUUUCGUUCUGGCAGCUAUAGAUUAGUCUGGGCUACUGUAAAGAGUAAAUUGGAGAAAACUCCCCAUGUGUCUAAGUUCAAGAAUAAGACCCCAAAAGUGCUUCGAAAGGGUAGCUAAGCCUUAGAAAACACCUUGGUCUUCUUCACCAAUGAAACCAACAGUUGCUUACAAAUAAAUGCUUGGCUUGGCUUGAGAAGCUUGUGGCAUGGAAGCUAAGCAUUCAUGAGUUUAGCAAGAGAGAGAGAGAGAGAGAGAGAGAGAGACCAUAUUUUCUACGAGAAACACAGGUUUAAAGCAAAGGAUUUCAUGAGAAUUUGCUGAGGAGACAAGAUUUUUGGGAGCUCAAAAGUCUUCUUGCAACUGUUCCAGUGGUAACCUCUCAUCUAUGGUUAUCACUUCUCCUUCUUUCCUCCCAUAUUUCAUGGCAAGAGCUGAUAAAGGAAGAAAAUAGAUAGCAACGUUGGUCUGAAGGAUGUCUUUUCUCCUAGCAACCUGCUGGCGCUAAUACCCUUUGGUCAUUUGAAUGGUUUGUCUUGAGGUUUGCACCUGGUCACGUGCUAGAGCCUCACAGCAGCCUACAUAUGUGAGUCAUUCCUUGGCUUUUUGUUGUGGUUUUGUCUCCAACCAUGUGCUGGAGACUUUCAAAUAUUUUUUUUGAUCAUUUGGGCCUUCCUAAGGUAAUGGGUUUGUCUACUAGGGAAUGGGCCAACUUCACAAAGUGAUAGACUACUUUUAUUAAGGUGAUGGGUCAAUUUUCUAAAGUGGUGGGCUCUCUUUUUCUCUCAUUUAUGCUUACCCAGAUAUUUGGACUCAAGAAAUGGGCUCGAGUUUUGGGGCUCCCAAGCAAUCUAAAACUUCAAUUUCUCGGCUCAUCAAUGGGCCUCAUGAAUGCUCGUUACCAUCCAUACUACAACCCACUCAGCAAGCCCCGAACAUUUGCAUGGCUUGGGCCUACUUAAGCUUAUAGCAUGGCUAUGUGUAAUAAUGAUUUUCUGCUUGGCAUUGCAUGUUGAUUGGCGUGCCUGAAUUUUAUCGUCUUUGAAAAGGGAUAUGAUGCUUGACGGGAGAAUUAGCAUGGGCUUGUAGAGCUAGUGCCUUUUAUGGGCUCAUUUCAAUUCUUAGCGUGACGGAUUGCAUAUUUAUUUCGCAUGGCACGUGGAUCGUGGCUCUUGCAAGCAUGCAUGACGAAUUUCGCAUACUCCAAACCGAGUCUCUUCUUAAUUAGGUGUCGCACUGGACCAGGAAUUUAUUUGGACCUCAAGUUACAUACACGAUUUUUUUUUUCUUCACAUGGGUCAUUUUAGUAGUUGUGAUAACUUAAUAGUAUAUCUUCCUAUGUUAAAAUUAUAUACAUGGGAUUUUUCUCAUGCGCGUGAGAGAUUUAGGUCCCAUAUCAUUUUAUUGUGAACUCUUUAUUGAAUAUCCUCCCAUUCGCAAUUUAUGCGCAUUUUCUCAAGCUCAUGAAAGAUUCUGGUGAUUAGAUUACUUAAUGGAACAAUGAACUUAUGAUAACAUUUGUCAUGCAUAUACAUGCGCGCAUGAGAGUAUUGUCAUAGUAUCUAUACAUGCCCCAUUCUUAUCAUCUUCUCUGCUUGAUCUGGAAAUAUUAUCUAUGAUUCGCUAACACGACACGAAUUCACAAGAAAAAAUCAAUAUUUGGGUUUAGCUUGGACUCGUUAGCCACCCAUUAAGCUAAUAGGUCAUAUCAGUAUCAUUCACGAAUAUUCGCUAACGGGUUGUGUUGGUCAUUCACGAAUUUAAACAGGUCAUGUCCGUGUUUGGUAUUUUCCACCCGUUAACUUAACGGGUCGUGUUCAUAUCAACUCGUUAAGAAAGUGGGUCAACACAAACACAACAAUAUAUUUGGUCCAAGUGCUAUGGGUAUAGCAAUGCUGCAUUGAUCCUAAGCUUUUUUAUUUUUUGUUUGGACGGAUGAUGCUAAGCUUAAUGAGUGCAAUAUAUUUUGCUAAAUAUAUAUGAGCUCAAGAAACUCCGAAUUAUGGUGCAGCACCCAACACCUUUAGAACAUUACAAAAGGGACCAACAAAGCUUAACAAGCCUCAUGAAACACUGUGACUGCAAACAAAUCAACUGGGUCAUUUAGGCCCAGUCCCCAAACAAAGUUCUUUCCCUAAUCAUAUUUACGAAUGGAAGUUGAAAGUUGAAGCCACUCAUUUAUUUCACAUGCAAUUUAAUUUGUGCUCUCAUAUUAAUUAUUUAAGCACUAAUUUUAUGCGCAUUUGGUAUUUGAGGUUGAUAAUUUAGUGGUGCUGAUGGACAAGUCUUAACUGUGUGUGUGUUUUGCAGAAGUACAGGCUCAACAGCAGGGGCGCCCAACCAGCAGCUUCUGCCAACAGUUCGCAGAGGGCAGCCCUGUUUUACUACAGGGACAUGUGGAACCCUAGCGCUUCUGAGCAGUCAAACUCUCGGCAGCAGCAGCUCGAAAGUGCAAGGAAUGGUGGAGAUGGCUCUUCAGUUGGUGGCUCUAGCAGAACCAGAAUUGAAAAAAUCAAAGAGUUAGGUUAGAUGAUGUUUAGUUAUGCAUCUGCUGAGAUUUUGCAUAUGUGUAUAUGAGGGCAUGUAUAGCAAAAGAUUAGGAUUCAGGAAAUAAUCAGAACCUGAAAGUUGUUUAUAAUUUCUUCUUUCUUUUUUGGGUCUCAAAAGUUGUUUAAUUUCAUGUUGAAUUGUAGCUGUGAUGCAUUUUUUGUUUUUGUUUUUGCUUUUUGGGUUUCAAUUUCUGCCCAAAUUGGUGCAGUUUAAGUUCUAAAAUUUCCAUUUUCAUGGACUUGUGUUUCCCAAGCAAACUGGUCUAAGAAGAACAAUUCAAUUUUAGCAUGAAGAAGCAAUUUUUUCUUCUUCUUCUCGAAGGGUCUUUUUGAUUGGACAAUGUUGAAAUGCAGCUCCAAAUUCAGCAAUUCAGGUAUAAUUCUACAGAGGGAGUUCAUAAUUAAUGCAAACAGUGGCACAAAAUCUCAGAAUAUAUUGGGAUUUUUUACUAAGUAAAUGAAGUCUGUCAGAUGAUGAGAGAACCAUAGCUUUAUUCCAAGUACAAUAACUUACAUACUCCUUACAAAGUACAAACUUACAAGCCCUACUACAUAUGCUUCUGAUAAUUGCACACCCCAUACAAACUUAACAUGAUUUAUUUAGUUAAUGAUUUCAGUUUAAUAUCAAGGAGAAGUAGUUUGCUUUGAAGAAGCCCGUGGGAUUCCAGGAAUGCGAGAUGUUGGUGGUGAUGGAUUUGGAGGCAAACUUGUUUUUGGAAUUUGUGGUGUUGUGAAGGAAGUAUCUGGGCGAGCUACUUUUUUAUCAUUUAGUUGCCCUGCCUUUCCUAGUCCUGGAAGUCCAGGAAGUCCUGGGAGUCCUGGAAGUCCCGGAAGUCCUGGAAGUCCCGGAAGUCCUGGAAGUCCCGGCAGUCCCGGAAGUCCUGGCAGUCCCGGAAGUCCUAAUAAUUUUUUGUCAGUUAGUUGCCCUCCCUUUGUAUUUUUACCAGUAAAGGGGGUUAAUUGUGGAAUUCCUGGAAGUCCUGGGAGUCCUGGAAGUCCUGUUCCUGGGAGUCCUGGAAGUCCUACUUUUUUAUCAGUUAGUUGCCCUGCCUUCGUAGUUUUACCAGGAAAGGGGGAUGUAACUGGAAUUCCUGGAAAUGAAGAUUUCUGAGAACUGAAUUCCUUGGAGUUUGGAAUGCUUGGUUUUUGGUUACAGAGGCUUGGCUGCUUUAGAGGCUUGAAGGUGAAGAAACCAGCUGAGAAUAUAUAUGUUCCUUGCUCACUUGACUUGAGAUGCAGUGAAGAUGAAGUGGCUGUUGAGGACACAGCACAAUAUGGUUCACUGCUGCUGAUUAAUUUCACAGAACACCCUUCAAUUUUCUUGACACGCUUGCUCACAGAGAAAGGCAAAUGGACUCUGAACACUCCAUGGCUAUCUGUUUUCACUUCUGUCUGGAAACUUGGUUUUGAACUCCCAUCUUUGCAUUCUACACCAACAGAAGCCCCUGCAGAAAAAUAAGUUGAAAUUAAGUUAACUGAACCCAAAAUUCACAAUAUAAAAAGCACUUUUGAUUGAGUUGUAGGAAAUUUGAAAUGAACCUGAAAUGAAGUGGCUGGCAUGUGAGAAUUCGGCUUGGAAACAUGUGUCACAGUAGACAGUGCCUACAACAACUGCAGAUGGGGGCUUCUUCUCAUGGCUAGCUUCUGAGGGAGUAGUCAAUGAGAGAGAACUGAUCAAAAAGAGUAGUGUAAAAAACCAAGACAUGUUAGAGCCUCUAUUGCCUCUGAGCAACUCUAAUAUUCUUGACUCUGAGAAUGAGUUGAUCUAGGCUGCCUUUUAUAUCAAUUGCUGAGGCUUAUAACGAAUAUAAAUACUCUCUACAGUAUUCACUAUACACUUUCUGAAAAAUGAAACUUUUUCUUCAAAUUUUACGACAUGACGCAUUAAGCUUCUUUAUUUCACCCAUGCAAAAAGCCAGUCAACCGCAAACUAGAAGAAGUGAAUGUAGGUUCAUAUCCUACCACCAAACAAUCCAAAAAGAAGGUUAAUAUUGUGAUGGAGAGGUAGAUAAGAAGAAAUAUUUGCUUUGCUGGUUCUUUGUUUACUUACAUUUAUUGAGUUUGUUUCUUUGUUAGUGGUGUUGAGUUGUGGAGAUACAAUUCAACUAGGAAAAGGAUGUGUUUCCUUUUGUUUGGUUUUCUUCUUGGUUUUAGAUUGGCAAAGAGUCACUUUUGGUUCAUGUGGUUUAUCACUUUAUCACUAAAAUCCCUGUGGUUUCAAUUUGAUCACUUUUGCCCGUGUGCUUUCAAUUUGAAACAAUUCAAGGACAAUUCUCAACUUAUGUCAAGUUUUCGUUAACUUCAGAUAUUUGUGGAGGGGCAAUUUGGUCUACAAAUUAUUUAAAAAAUUCAUUCCUUUUAAAAAUAAAAUAUUAAAAACCAAUAAAUAAAUAAAACAAGAAGAACAGCCAAAUACAUAGUAUGGUAACCCAAAUACGCCCUCGAAUACAUGGUGAGCACAGCCAAAGCCCAAGGCAAAAAAUUCACAGCCAACUUGUUCUUUGUGUCCCAGAGUCCAAUCCCUUUAUACGUUAAGAGGGUGAAGUAGAUAUAUAGCAAAGAAGAACAUGUACUGAGAGUGGCUCGAAGGCCAUCCAUGCAAAAUCACACAAGCUCAAGAAACACUGAGUUUCUUUAUUUGGGAAGAAACCUAAAGGCAUGGAACAAAAGGAAUGAGAUGAAGACAACUGUUGAAUUGAUGGCAACUCUAUCCAGGAUGUAUGAGAAGCCAUGUGCGAUGCGACAAUUGUAUUUGAUGAAGUGCUCAUUUAAACUGAAGAUUUGACCGAGUCAUUUGAGAAGAUUUGACCCUUAAAAUUGAUUUUUUUUUGCAUUUAUCUCGAGUUUUAUGUCUCAUUACGACUCAAACAAGCUCGUCAUUACAACUUAAAGGAUCUUAUAGUAAUUGGUUGAUCCUAUUUCAAAAUAAAACUAAGUUAUUUGAUAAGAUUUGACCCCUAAAAUUGAUGCUUAGCAAAGGCAAUUGAAAAAUAGAUAAUUUUUUUUUUGUUAGAAAUAUAUAUAUGUGAAAAUUGAAAAACUCCCAAGCCCAAACAAAGUUUACAACUUUCCAUGGUGUCAGAAUAUAUAUGUUGUUUGAGCAGAGCAUGGCAUCUUCUCAAGACCUAAUGUGGCAUAUUAAUACCCUAAUAAGGGUUUAUUUUAAUUUAAUAUCCCAAAUUUUUACUCUUAAGGCAUGUUUGUUCCUACACUCUUAAUUUUAAUGAUUACAUACCCUAAGCUUUUGAAUUUUGCAAUCUAGUUCCGACAUUAACUUCCCUAUCAAAAUUUUUGUUAAUUGCUUGCAUGGCAAGCGUGGAUCUCACCUAUUCGCUUAUUUCGAUGUCAGUUGAAGAGUGUUUUCGGGUAAUUGGUGUCUUCCCGCCCAUGAAGAACACAUUACAUGCACUAAUACCAAACCAUUUUUGAACAAAUACUGGAAAAUACCCUUCAACUAACAUUCAAAUGAGUGAAUAGGUGGAACCUAGGAUUGCCACGCAAGCAAUUAACGAAAAUUUUGACGGUGAAGUUAACGACGGAUCUAGAUUGCAAAAAAUUGAAAAACUUAGAGUAUGUAAUUGUUAAAAUUGAGAGUGCAUGAGUAAACGUAGCUUUAGGAUAAAAGUUCAGAGUAGUAAAUUGAAAUUAACCAUAUUAAUAAGGCUUGUGUUAAAGUAAUAGCAAUGUGAGACCUCCAAAUCUCAGGGAGGUCUUCUAGUUCUAUGAGGACACUCCCCUGAAUCCAUGAAUAGGUAAAGUAAUUCCGGCCAAAUUAAAGAGUCAUGUGACUGCAACCAAAGAGUCUUUUCCUCAGUUGUUGACAGUCUAGAAAAUUUGCAUCAUCUCAUCAGCAAACAGAUGAACAUUCAAUAAUUCAUCAGUGAAAAUUGGGAGCUAUAAUAAUGCGUUUGGUUCAAAAAGUACCAAUCUACAUAGAACAAUGAUCUUGGGAUUUGAUAUUUGGAAUUUGGAAGACUUAUUUUAGCUGAAAAUGGACAAGCAUACGCAUCCAAUGAUCCAGACCUGAAACAAAAAGAAGCUACAACUUCCAAGUAUUUGAGCGCUUUCCAGCCAACUAAGGAAUCUCUGUACUCUGUACGCUCAUAAGAUAAGACACUCCCAUGUGUUGAUGUUGCAUCCAGAUUCCUUUUGCAGCAAUGUAUAUGUCCUUCCAUCCCAACAGUCUGUUUUUUUUUUUUUUCCUUUCUUUCUUUAAUUCAAUUUUCAACAGUUUUUACUGUCCAGCUGCAUAGCAUCUUGGGUGAAAAAGAGAAAAUAAAAUUAACUUCUACUGACAAAAGAUACACCAGUCACACCACAAAACAAAGGCACAAACUCCAGAUUAAGAUAAUUAGAUCUUGACAGAUUGCCUUCACCAAUUGAUUACCUUGUGACCAAGGCAAUCCCACAAACUUACACCGUUUCAUUCUUUGUCCGUGGGCCACAAUUUUUGACAAAUUUGACAAUCUAAUAAGGUGGUUACUGACGGUUCAAGGUUAUCUUGUGAGGGAAUUGAAAUGUAACACCAAAUUUUCUUUUACGCAGUGCAAGAGAUAAUGCAUGUUAAAAGUUAAAAAAAAAUGAUUGUUUUUUCGAAUUCUAUGAUGUAGGUUUUGCCCUAGGGUUUAGGGUUCCAAAAAACCUGUCAUGUCUACACUUCACGGGCGAGCUUAAGCCUGACGAGUGUCGACAGGACUUUCAUGGCUGCUUGUUGAAUGUUCUAUAGUGGAGUUUGCCAGCUGAUGGAUACCAAUUCCCAAAGCUUGAAACAUAAGAUAACAUUGUUUAUUAGAUUUUAUUUUUAAUAUCUGGUUCAUUAUUAUUGAAACAAUAAUAAUCCUUAGUUUAGAUAGGUAAAUUAUCCCAAACAAGGUUGCCGACUCAAACGUUAAAAUUGUAGCCGAUGAACUAGACUUUAGUUUAGCGUUAGGUGUAUCUCUUGAGUGUGAGGUGGACAUUAAUUUGACCGAACUAAUGAAAUCGACUAAAUCAAACUGUAAUAUUGGUUUGGUUUUAAUUAAGAAAAAGUUAAAUUGUUUAAAAAUCAAACCAGAUCGUGUAUGGUUUGAUUUUGUUUGAUUUUGAACUCUUAUAAACCGACCUAAAUCAAAUCAGACUGUUUAUGUGUAUAUUUAUUUACUUAGAUUUUACAUGUGUAAACUCUAAUUAGAUAAUACCUAUAUAGUUAUUGAAAUUUGAAGUUUUAUGUCAUCUGUCCAUCAAGUACUUUCUUUCUCCAUAUGAGCGUUAUGAUUACAUAUGAAUUGAGUUAUAUUAGUUAUUAAAAUUUGAAGUUUUAUGGCAUUGAAAUUCCCAAAUGGAUAUGCCAAGCUUGAAACAUAAGAUAACAUUGUUUAUUAGAUUUUAUCUUUGAUGUCUAGUCCAUUAUUAUUGAAACAAUAAUAAUCCUUUGUUUAGAUAUGUAAACUAUCCCAAACAAGGUUGCUGACUCAAUCGUUAAGAUUGUAGCCGAUGAACUAGACUUUGGUUUAGUGUUAGGUGUAUCCAUUGAGGUAAGGUGAGCAUCAAUCCAGCCGAACUGAUAAAACCGACUGAAUCAAACUGUAAUUAGCCAUUUGGUUUUGUUUUGAUCAAGAAAAAGUUAAAUGAAAUCAAACCGAAUCGUAUAUGGUUUGUUUGGUUUUGUUUUGAACUUUUGUAAACUGACAUAAACCAAACCGAGCUGUUUAUGUGUAUAUUUAUUUACUUAUAUUUUACAUGUGUAAUACUCUAAUUAGGUAAUACCUAUAGUUAUUGAAAUUUGUUGUAUUAGUUAUUGAAAUGUGAAGUUUUAUGUCAUCUGUCCAUCAAGUACUUUCUUUCUCCAUAUGAGCAUUAUGAUUACAUGUGAAUUGAGUUAUAUUAGUUAUUAAAAUUCGAAAUUUUGAUGGCAUUGAAAUUCCCAAAUGGAUAUGCCAAGCUUGAAACAUAAGAUAACAUUGUUUAUUAGAUUUUAUCUUUGAUGUCUGGUCCAUUAUUAUAGAAACAAUAAUAAUCCAUAGUUUAGAUAUGUAAACUAUCUCAAACAAGGUUGCUGACUCAAUCGUUAAGAUUGUAGCCGAUGAACUAGACUUUGGUUUAGUGUUAGGUGUAUCUAUUGAGGUAAGGUGAGCAUCAAUCCAGCCGAACUGAUAAAACCGACUGAAUCAAACUGUAAUUAGCCAUUUUGUUUUGUUUUGAUCAAGAAAAAGUUAAAUGAAAUCAAACCGAAUCGUAUAUGGUUUGAUUUGGUUUUGUUUUGAACUUUUGUAAACUGACAUAAACCAAAUUGAGCUGUUUAUGUGUAUAUUUAUUUACUUAUAUUUUACAUGUGUAAUACUCUAAUUAGGUGAUACCUAUAGUUAUUGAAAUUUGUUAUAUUAGUUAUUGAAAUUUGAAGUUUUAUGUCAUCUGUCCAUCAAGUACUUUAUUUCUCCGUAUGAGCAUUAUGAUUACAUGUGAAUUGAGCUAUAUUAGUUAUUAAAAUUCGAAAUUUUAUGGCAUUGAAAUUCCCAAAUGGAUAUGCCAAGCUUGAAACAUAAGAUAACAUUGUUUAUUAGAUUUUAUCUUUGACGUCUGGUCCAUUAUUAUUGAAACAAUAAUAACCAAUAGUUUAGAUAGGUAAACUAUCCCAAACAAGGAUGCCGACUCAAACGUUAAGAUUAUAGCUGAUGAACUAGACUUUGGUUUAGUGUUUGGUGU
rnacentral:lncRNA from 1 species